rnacentral:tmRNA from 1 species
GGGGCUGAAUUUUAAGCUCGACGAUUGGACCUUAACAAGUUUCGAUGGCAGGUCGGUUCGCACUGAACGUUAUCCGGUGCAACCAAAUAGAUGCAAAAACAUCUUUUCGCGAAAAGUUGGCUGUUUUGAAUCCGUUCAAUCAGUUGGCUCUAGCACCAGUUGUAGCCUAAUUGCUGCGACCACGCUCUGAAUUGACAUCAGAUAGAAUCAGCAGCGUGUUAUAUCAUCUGAUUGCGCUAGGUUAUGGUAGCCCACCGUAACUUGGCUAAGUUUAUUGGGCUGCACCUAUAUCUUUUUUGAUCGUUCUAAGGGUGUAGGUAAAGAAAUUUAAACGAUAUAAACCUGUAGUCAUCAAAUUUGUUACCCAUCGGACGCGGGGGUAGUACCCGCCAGCUCCACCA